AUGGGAUUUCAAUCAAUUUUUCCCCCUCUUCUUUUUCUUUUUCCUGGUAAAAAUUUCCUCAUGCCCAGUUUUAUUUUCAAUCUUAAAAAAUUCUUUUUUUUACUGUAAAAUAUGGGUCUUUUUUUAAUUGAUUUUAUCUACUGUCUUUACAGUGACACUAUAAUUCGAGAGCUGGAGCAAUUGCAGCAAAUUUUUGGACACCCAACAUCGGCAAGGGCAGAGUAUUUGAUUUUUUUUUUUAAUUUCUUCUUUCUAUGAUCUUUGUUGGACUUUCACUGUGUAGAACGAAUUCUAUUUUUAGCUAGGCAUAACUUCUUUUUUUCUUAUUUUUGUUACUCAGGCUUUAUUGUAUGUUGGUUCUGUUCUGUUUUACCCAUAUUUCAUCAAUUUUUAUGAUUUAAAUUGAACUACUAUGUGAAAAGGAAUAUCGAGUAUUGCCAAGUAGUAUUUUCUUUGACUAUUACUGUACAUAAUUGUCAAUUUUGUUGUUCAAUUGCUAGCUGUUAAAUUUGCUGCAAAAGAAUGAUUAUUGCAGUUUGAAUCUCUUGUUUUUAUGGGGAAGAAUGGGAGGGUUGAAAAAGGGAAAUAAAAUGAAAUAGUUGGGUGGAAAGUGUUACCUUUUAUGGAGUUCUAGCUUAAUCAUCAUUUGUUUAAUUGUACAUUUUACACUUUCCAACAAUUGAAUGGAGCGAGUUUUUUGGAUUUCCAUUUCAUUGCUUUCAAGUAUCUUGGUCUAGAUAAGUUCCGUCCGUGUUUUCUGUUUUCAAAAUGAAUUAAUAUAUAUGACAUAACAGGUUCUUCUUGCAAAUUGGGAAUUGAAUGUUUAUAUGAAAAGGUGUUUAAAAUCUGAUCUUUUCUUUGUGGCAUCCAUAUUCUGCAAAGAUCUUUUGCCCUGUCUUUGUCCACCUCCUAGGUCUCAGUAUUUUGUCGGUUUGCUUAUGGUAGAGUUUGAUCUCCUUCUCUCCCAUUUUCCCUUUGUCCCCACUUUUCCUCUCCUUCCGCUUUAGCUCUUGAAAUUGCAUUUUAGAUCCUUGGUUGUUAUAGUGGAUUACAAGCAUACUUAACACUACGUUCAAGCUGUUGAAUUUUAGGUUCAACUUUCAAGUGUUAAAGUUUUAUUAAAGUUUUGAUUUCUUAUGUAAGCUUGUUUUACCCCCUUUUUUAGAGGGAGAGGGGGUUUGAGAGAGAUAAAAAUAGCACUUAUAUUAGUGUAUAUGGAUGUAUGUAUGUAUGUAUGUAUAUGGUAUACAUAAACAUAGGUUUAAAAAGUAUGCUACAUACGAUGUUUCUAUAAUACAAAAUUGUGUAAUUGCAAAAUAAAAUGUAAAUUUCAAGUACUGUGCACACUUAAAUUAUUUCUUAAAAAAUUCUAAAAAUUAAAUUCAAUAAAAUUAGAGUAUAACUUAAUGACCAAUAACAAAUAAAACUAAAAAAGGGAACCAUCAAGAACAUAAAAUUACUUGUGCAAAAUUAAUGCAUUAGCGAACCAUAUGAGGUUCUUGGUUGUUUUGCCUUAUUUAGAGGCUGUUUGAUUGGGUUUUUGCUAUUUGCUUUUUGCUUCCGAAAGUAAAAAAGCAAAAAUUGCAUUCCCAUAAGCAAUAAAAUAUUGAAGAGUUAAACACAAAAUAUGUAAAUUUUUUAUGAUUAACUACAUGAUUCUACUUCUAUAUAUACUAAUUGUGUUAUAACUGAUUUUAUAUUUUAAUUAUUUUUUCUGUUUCAGAUCAGUUAUGAUAUAUUUAUUGUUUACCUUUUGCUUUUCCUUUCUAGUAAAAUAUAUACGUUUUAUUCAUGUUCAUUUGUAACUUACCAGACUUCUUGACCAUGUUCUAGAAAUGCUAGUAUGUAACGAGUUUGCUUUGAAUAUGGCAGCUAACAAUAUCAGUGAAUCUUAGGUUUGUUGAUGCAAAUCAUGGCUAAUAGAUUCACUUGAAGCCUACUUAUCUAAAGAUCUUUAGAUUUUUGGAGGAUGAAAUACAGAGGUGGUGCUGAUGUUAAUAAUAUUGGAC
rnacentral:lncRNA from 1 species